rnacentral:tRNA from 1 species
GGGAAUGUGGCUCAGUGGUAAAAGUACUUGCCUAGAAUGUGUGAGACUCUGAGUUCAGCCCCCAGCAUUGCCU